CCCGGCGCCUCUCGCCCCGGCGCAGGCGCCGCCGUGGGCUCGCGGCGGAGGGCAGCUCGCCCCGGGACGGCGGCUCCAUGCGCUGCCAGGUCUCGGUGCUGUAUUUCGCCAGGAGCGCGGAGCUGGCGGGGCUGCGCUGCGAGACCCUCUCGGUGCCACGGGAGAUCACCUCUCUCCAGCUCUGGGAGGAGAUCGUCAAGGUCCACCCCAGGCUUGCUCUCAUCCGGGAUCAAGUGGUGUUUGCUGUUCGGCAGGAGUACGUGCUUCUUGGAGAUCAGCUCCUGGUCCUGCAGCCUGGAGACGAGGUUGCCAUCAUCCCACCAAUUAGUGGAGGCUGAACCUGCCCAGGUUCUGUUAGGUCUGAAGAUGUGAUUGCAGUUCUCUCCCUCCACCCCAGUACUCUUUUGAGAAAACCCAACUUGUGUUUCCGUCUGUUUUUCUAUUGUGAUAUGGAAGAAAACGAAGAUGUGCCAAAAGAUUUUAUCAAGCUCAAGUCUGAAAAGCUCUCUGUAGAUGAAGUGUCAGAGCUGGUUGUUUCACCAUACUGUGGGGCAGUGUCUCUGUUCAUUGGUACUACAAGAAAUAAUUUUGAAGGAAAAAAAGUGAUUCACUUAGAAUAUGAAGCAUAUACUUCAAUGGCAGAGACUGAAAUAAGGAAAAUCUGCAGAGAUGUUAGAAAGAAAUGGCCUUCAGUCAAACAUAUUGCAGUGCACCACAGACUUGGUGUGGUUCCAAUAACUGAAGCAAGUGUAAUUAUUGCAGUCUCCUCUCCGCACAGAGCAGAAUCCCUUGAAGCAGUGAUGUACUGCAUCAAUACCUUAAAAGCAUCUGUUCCUAUAUGGAAAAAGGAGAUUUAUGAGGAUGAAUAUUCUUGGAAAGAAAACAAGGAAUGCUUUUGGGCAAAUUCAGAAAAAUAAUUGUACUUCUUUGAAAAUAAAGUGUUACUCUUCCUAAUGAGCAUAUUUACCUUUGAGUUUUUACAGCGAUUCUCUGUUUCUAAAUGGUUCUAACAGAUGUUUCAAUUUCAAUAAUUUAGUUUGGACUGAGUGAAAUGAAUGAGGAUAAAUUAGGGGUUUUACUGUCCUUUGGAAUUGCCUUUGUGUGCAUUUUUAACAUGGAGUCAGUUUUUAAAAGAAUCUUCCCUAAAAUUCUUUGUGGCAAGGUUUAGACUACUCUGUGAUAAAUACUGUUCUAAUUCUUUUACCUUGGUAGUCUGUGUUCUCUGUCUGCAUGACAGGUCACCACAGGACAAUUGCAUUUUUUUCAAUCUUAAAGUUCAGAGAGGUUUAAUUUUAUAUGACUGCAGACAAAGUUUGCAAACUUUAUGCUAUUUUGACAUUCUUCUAACAUGAAAGCUACUUGAAGUAGAUAAACUAUUUUAGUGCAGACAGAGGAGAAAAUACUAACUAUACCCCAGAGUUAUUAAAUUUUUAGUAGUGCUUAUUUUCCAGUAGCUCUGUCUCACACAUUUUUACUGUGCAGCUGAUACUAUGAAUCCAUUGAAUUAAACAAUAUGGAUAGGGAUUGAUACAAAGUUAAAGCUAGUACUCUACCAGCAAAAAGAAUUGCAUUAGCAAUAAAAUGCCAAUCUGUAACUACUUAAUGAUGUGUAGACAAAAUUUUGAAGUGACUUUUUGGUUGUGUAGUUGUGUGGUGCUACAAGAGGAAAAACCCAAGCCAGCUAUUACUACAAAUACACAACUAUAGUGUAAUUAUGUUCAGUAAUUUGACUUAAUAUGUGUGGGGAUUAAAAGUCAUCAAAUGGAAUAGUUUUUCAAAGAAAAGGGAGUUUUUUGAACUUACUGCAAUUCAUAUAUGUAUUUAUAUUCACAUUUCAGAUUUAAUCUUAUUACAGUUUUUCUCUUGUUACUGUUUCGAAAACUAGUUAAAUGAACUGACAUAAUAUGCCUGGGUUUCUCUGGAAAUAUUGGGUUAUGUGUCUGAGCAAGGUCAUUUUAUUUGUUAUUCUACUGUGCCAUGGUAGUAUUUAGAUGCUAAGAGUUCAAAGUCCUAUUGUGUAUGGCACUUCUGCUAAUGCUGGGAGGCAGUGUUAUCUAGUUGUCAUUAUCAGUGCAGACAAGGUAGAUACAAGUGAAGGAAAAUAAGGUAAUGCAAAAUUAUUUGCUCAGUUGCUCAUAUAUAUGUUCCUAUAUCAUAUAUAGUUAUUUAUAAUUCAGGUGCAAGGUCGUACUCCUGAGUCAGGGCAAUCCCAAUCACAAGUACAAGCUGGAGGGAGAAUGGAUCAAGACUAGCACUGGGGAGAAACACUUGAGGGUAUGUGUGAACAAAAAGCUCAGUAUGAGCUGGCAAUGUGCACUUGCAGCCAAGAUAUCUGGCUCUGUCCUGGGCUGCACCAAAAGCAGCAGAGCCAGCAGGUCAAAGGGUUUGAUUCUGCUCCUCUGCUGUGCCCUUAAGGGACCCUACUGGAACACUGCAUCUGGUUCUGGAGCCCCCAGUGCAAGUUUUGUUGGAAUGAGUCCAGAGGAGGACCAUUAAGUUUAUCAGAGGACUAGAACACCACUCCUAUGAAGACAGGCUGAGAGCUGGGGUUUUUCAGCUUGCAGAAAGCUCCAGAGAAACCUUACAUCACCUUUCAGUACCUAAACAGGGCUUACAAUAAGUUUGGAGGGGGAAUUUUCACAAGUUCAGCUUUGAGCUGAACUGAGGGUAGGCUUGGAUCAGAUAAUAGGAAUAAACUCUUUACUCUGAGGGUGGUGAGGCACUGGCACAGGUUGCCCAGAUAAGCUGCGGAUGCCCCAUUCUUGGGAAGGUUCAAGGUCAGGCUGGACAGGGUUCUGAGUAACCUGGUCUAGUGGAAGGUGUCCCAGCCUAUAUCAGGAUGGUUGCAGCUUGAUGAUCUGUAAGGUCCCUUCCAACACAAACCAGUCUUUGAUUCUGUAAUCAUUACAUCACAUACUAGUGAAACUUCAGCUGUAUAUUGUAUUUUAUUGUGUCUGCAAAAAUCUACUAAAAACUUCUAGCUGCACAAAGUAAAAUGGGGAAAGUAGGUCAUGAUAGUUUUUCCCCCCCCGGGGAUUUUAAUCACUUUUAAUACUUAGUUACUGUAUCUGAAUUAAGCAAAUUGUAAAGAAACAUACAGCUUCAGUCGGAAACAUUGUUAAACUGUGCUUAUUAAAUUAUUGAUGUACUUUCCUCAGUGGAAGUCAGGCCUUCAUCUGCAGGACAGCAGCUGCUCUUUGCAUGUUUACAGAUAACACACUCUACAAACCAUGUGAGCCCUAUUAUCUAGGCAGAGGUGGUCAAGUACAAGACUGAGUUUUCGGUUUUUUUGGGGGUUGGAGAGAAGCCCUCUGCUGUUUGAAUGUCAUUUUUCCUGGGAAUUGUACAGAAUACUGAGCACAAUCACUUGCCUUGUGAAAGAACUAUUUUUCACUUCAGAAGAGAAAGAAAUACAUGAACUUUUUUGUACUUGAUGUUAAUUUUUCCAUGUUUAUGUUUGCUGUUACUAUGCAACUAAUUAGUGUAUUAAUUUCACAAAAAUAAAUGUUAGCUUGUUUUUCAGUGGA